rnacentral:rRNA from 1 species
AUGGCUGCUCACACCGCUGGUGCGACACCUUCGUGGAGCUCAUCGGCCAUUGUCGCCGAAGACGUAUCCCGGUCGCACAUCCUCAAGAUCAAGGGCAACUCCCACACCAAGGGGCUCGGCAACAGCGAAUGCAUCACAUCCAAGAAGUUUGUUGUGGGGGGCCAUCACUGGCACCUCAAAUACUACCCUGAUGGCAACGUCACAUUCGACAUCGAUUGGGUAGCCAUGCAUCUAUGGCGCGAUAAUGACACCGACAACAAGGAUGUCAAGGCAACUUUUAAGGUCAGUGUCCAGACAAGUGACCUCCGUGCUUUCAGUCCCAAACGAGGAUGGGGAUUCAAUAAAUUCAUCAAGAGGAAAUAUUUGGAGGAAUCAACGCUUCUGAAAGAUGAUUUCUUCAGUAUCAGGUGCGAUGUCACUCUCACGGAGGAGAUCCGCAUUGUCUCCAAGCAUGCGCGGUUCGUAGUCAUGCCGCCAUCCGACUUAUACCACCAACUCCUCCACCUCUUGGCAAGCAGGUAGGCAGGGGACAUGACUUUCGAGGUCGGCGGUGUGCUGUUCCCGGCGCAUAGGUACAUGCUUGCUGCUCGGUCCUCGGUCUUCUUGGCUGAGCUCUUUGGUCCUAUGAAAGAGAAGGAGGCAACCUACAUACGGAUCGAUGAUAUGGAAGCUAAGGUAUUCAAAGCCAUGCUUCACUUCAUCUACACGGACGCAUUGCCUGAGAUUGACAACAGUGAAUCUAUGGAGAUGGCACAACAUUUGCUGGUAGCAGAAGACAGGUAUAACCUCGAGAGGCUCAAAUUGAUGUGCGAGGAGACCUUGUGCAACUACAUCAACCAAAGCACAACAGCCACCAUGUUGGUGUUGGCUGAGCAGCAUGGUUGUGAAGGCCUCAACGCGGCAUGCUUCUCUUUCCUCGCUUCACUCGACAACCUGAAGGCAGUC